UCACAGCAGCACUUUGGAACCUGACAGGAAAGAUUUCUGACAGGAUAUAUAUCUCAGAUGUCCACACAAAGACAAACAUCAUCUGGCUUUUGCUGUGGUUGACUAGUUAAUGUUUCUGCUACAGGUUGCCUCUUCUGGGGCUGACUCUCUUUGAUUCUUACAGAAGAAAACUAUUACAUGGUCACUCCUUUCUGAAACCUGAAUGAAGCCUGUUGGCAGGCUUAUCACACACCCUACCUAGUUGUUGCAUUCAAGGUCAUAGCCAGCACAUCUAUAACACAACCUGUCUUAACCAGCAACAAUAGAAAAGGCUUCAUGAAGACAAAGCAAAACAGCUUCCUCCCUGCAUAUUGGCUGUCCCCAAAUACAAGUAAACUAUGUAAAUGUAAUUGUAGAAUCGAUAUUGUGGUUGCAUAA